CUUAACAGAAUCCAAAGGUUUGAGAUCUUCCUCCAUAAAGAUAGUUAGCAUCGUGCCACCUACAUUAUCCUCGAAUAUACACUGAUCACCAAUUGCUUUCAGUCUCUUAAGCACGCGAUCAAAGCCAAGGGCCCCCAUUUAACAAGCAUCGACAUAGCUGUCCCUGAAUCCCUCACUGGUCCUCCUCCCAAAGGAGCUCAUGAUGUCAAAUUAACUGCCCAACAAGUCACCGACCUUAUAUACGUCGAGGAGGAGGUCAUACUUUCCGAUGAAGAGCAAGCGGAACAGGUACAGGUGCCCACCUACAUUGAUCUCGAAGAUUCGAAGAUUUCAAUAGGCCUGACUACACAGAGCAUUCUGAUGCUAGUUCCAGACCUCAAGUUCCAGCCUGCAUUAGUGUUAACUAAGAAGGCUCAGAUGUACUUGAAGGAAUGGUGAUCCAGAAGAAUACGCCUAACUUUCGCCUUCGAGCCCUCAACUUUCGUUCUUGAUUAAUAAAAACAUCCCUGGCAAAUGCUUUCGCAGUUGUUCAUCUUUAAUAAAUCCAAGAAUUUCACCUCUGACUAUGAAAUACGAAUGCCCCUGACUGUCCCUGUUAAGCAUUACUCCGAUCUCAAAGGCUAACAGAAUAGGACUGAAAUCCUAUGAUGUUAUCCUAUGCUAAUGUAUCCAAAGCGUAGGCUUACUUUGAGCACUCUAAUUUCUUCAAAGUAACAGCACCAGAGGUACGACCCGGCCGGUUAAGGCCAGGAGCGCAUCACUGGCUCCCUCUUUGGAAUCAAACCCUAAUUCUCCGUCACCCGUGAACACCAUAGUAGGCCACUAUCCUACCAUCGAAAGUUGAUAGGGUAGAAAUUUGAAUGAUGUGUCAUUGGCACAAUGGCCGUGCGAUCCGUCGAGUUAUCAUGAAUUAGCAAAGCAGCGAGCAGAGCCUGCAUCGGCCUUUUAUCUAAUAAAUGCAUCCCUUCCAGAAGUCGGGGUUUGUUGCACGUAUUAGCUCUAGAAUUACUAUGGUUAUCUGAGUAGCAGGUACCAUUAAACAAACUAUAACUGAUUUAAUGAGCCAUUCGUAGUUUCACAGUCUGAAUUAGUUCAUACUUACACAUGCAUGGCUUAAUCUUUGAGACAAGCAUAUGACUAGUAGCAAGAUCAACCAGGUAGCAUUCCUUGUCGAUGCCGAUGCCGCCUGGAGGCCCUGGCUCGCUCGAGGACAAGGAAGGGCAUGAACGAGCACGGCGAUCGAACAGUUGACUUUGAACUGGUACGAACAAGGGAAAUCUGAUUGUUUAAUUAAAACAAAGCAUUGUGAUGGUCCCUACGGAUGCUCACGCAAUGUGAUUUCUGCCUAGUGCUCUAAAUGUCAAAGUGAAGAAAUUCAACCAAGCGCGGGUAAAUGGCGGGAGUAAUUAUGACUCUCUUAAGGAAGCCAAAUGCCUCGUCAUCUAAUUAGUGUUGCGCAUGAAUGGAUUAACGAGAUUCCCACUGUCCCUUCUACUAUCCUGUGAAACCACAGCCAAGGGAACGGGCUUGACAGAAUCAGUGGGGAAAGAAGACCCUGUUGAGCUUGACUCUAGUCCGACUUUGUGAAAUGACUUAAGAGGUGUAGGAUAAGUGGGAGCCGAAAGGUGAAAGUGAAAUACUACUUUUAAUGUUAUUUUACUUAUUCAGUGAAUCGGAAGAGGGGCACUGCCCCUCUUUUUGGACCCAAGGCUCGCCUCGGCGGGCCAAUCCGGGUGGAAGACAUUGUCAGGUGGGGAGUUUGGCUGGGGCGGCACAUUUGUUAAAAGAUAACGCAGGUGUCCUAAGAUGAGCUCAAUGAGAACAGAAAUCUUGUGUGGAACAAAAGGGUAAAAGCUCGUUUGAUUCUGAUUUCUAGUAUGAAUACGAACCGUGAAAGCGUGGCCUAUCGAUCCUUUAGUAGACCUUCGAAAUUUGAAACUAGAGGUGUCAGAAAAAUUACCUCAUGGAUAACUGGCUUGUGGCAGCCAAGCGUUCAUGGGGACAUUGCUUUUUGAUCCUUCGACGUCGGCUUUUCCUAUCAUUGUGAAGCAGAAUUCACCAAGUGUUGGAUUGUUCACCCACCAAUAGGGAAUGUGAGUUGGGUUUAGAUCAUUGUGAGACAGGUUAGUUUUACCCUACUGAUGACAGCGUCAAAAUAGUAAUUCAACCUAGUACAAGAGGAAUCAUUGAUUCGCACAAUUGGUCAUCACACUUGGUUGAAAAGCCAGUGGCGCGAAGCUACCGUGCGCUGGAUUUUUACUAAACGCCUCUAAGUCAGAAUCCGGGCUAGAAGUGAUGUGUGCGCCCGUCACUCGAUUGCCGACCUGCAGUAGGGGCCCUCGGGCCCCUAGAGGCAUGUGUCUUUUGCCAAGCCCCUGCAGCGGAUGAGCCGCAUGGGUCACCAUGAAGUAUAAUUCCCACCGAGUGACGGGUAGAAUUCUUUGUAGACAACUUAAAUACACGACAGGGUAUUGUAAGUGGCAGAGUGGCCUUGUUGCCAUGAUCCACUGAGAUUCAGACCUGUGUCGCUUUGAUUCGU
rnacentral:rRNA from 1 species